AACUCCUACGGGGGGCAGCAGUAGGGAAUCUUCCACAAUGGACGAAAGUCUGAUGGAGCAACGCCGCGUGAGUGAAGAAGGGUUUCGGCUCGUAAAGCUCUGUUGGUAGUGAAGAAAGAUAGAGGUAGUAACUGGCCUUUAUUUGACGGUAAUUACUUAGAAAGUCACUGCUAACUACUUGCCAGCAGCCGCGGUAAUACGUAUGUGGCAAGCGUUUUCCGGAUUUAUUUGGCGUAAAGCGAGUGCAG
rnacentral:rRNA from 1 species